rnacentral:rRNA from 1 species
UUUAUUGAGAGUUUGAUCCUGGCUCAGGACGAACGCUGGCGGCGUGCCUAACACAUGCAAGUCGAGCGAUGAAGCUUCUUCG